UAAAACAAAAACUAAAUUUAUUAGAAUCUAUAAUAAAAUAAACAAAACAGUUUUUAGAAUUAUAUGAAAUAUUAAGGUAAUAAAUUAAACUUGGAAUUCAAACACGCAAUUUUUAAACGUGACGUCAAUUGAAGAUAAUAAAAUAAUGAGAAAUUAAAUGCAAAUUCUGUUUUCAACAUAAAUUAGUUCCCAAAAUAGUUAAAUUCAAAACAUCUUCGCUUUAAACGAAGACAUUCAAAAGCAAUUAAAAAGGUCCACCCUCUAAUAAUAAAGUCUCUCUAGCCUUUACUGAUUUUUGAAUUAGUGUUUAAGAAAAAACCACAUGGCUACAGACGUUUGAUCUUUUUCAAACAAUUUGUUCAGAUGGACUCUCUGGCUGAUUGCGUGUUCUUGCCGCACUACCACGUCGCCAUGGGGCAUCCUCAUCAAUGGCCGUUUCUGAAUUAACUUUUUCUGGCAUAAGUUUUGGUUUAUCAUCUAAGAAAAUGAAAAAAGUUAUAUAAUAUUAUAAAAAUUACAUACAACA